rnacentral:rRNA from 1 species
UGUGUAAGCGAAGCGAUAAGUGGAGCGGUGAAAGGCUCAGUAACGGGCGAUUUAUUUGAUCUCCUGGGACGGACAACAUGGGGAAACUGAUGGGAAAACGUCUAAGUUGCAGUUUAUUGAUUGUGACGUAAACCUUUGUGUGCAGGAGAGUAAGAUGCCAUCCUAUCAGUUAGUAAGUAGGGUAAGGGCCUACUUAGACGAAGACGGGUACGGGGAAUGAGGGUUUGAUUCCGGAGAAGGAGCCUGAGAGAUGGCUACCAGGACCAAGGUCAGCAGCAGGCGCGAAAAUUAUCGAAGCCCGCCUAGGGGCGAUAGUGAGGAGACGUGUAUACGAAGUACGUGUAAAGACCGUACUAAUAACUGGAGGUCAAGUCUGGUGCCAGCAGCCGCG